GACGAACGCUGGCGGCGUGCUUAACACAUGCAAGUCGAACGGAAAGGCCCUGCUUUUGUGGGGUGCUCGAGUGGCGAACGGGUGAGUAACACGUGAGUAACCUGCCCUUGACUUUGGGAUAACUUCAGGAAACUGGGGCUAAUACCGGAUAGGAGCUCCUGCUGCAUGGUGGGGGUUGGAAAGUUUCGGCGGUUGGGGAUGGACUCGCGGCUUAUCAGCUUGUUGGUGGGGUAGUGGCUUACCAAGGCUUUGACGGGUAGCCGGCCUGAGAGGGUGACCGGCCACAUUGGGACUGAGAUACGGCCCAGACUCCUACGGGAGGCAGCAGUGGGGAAUAUUGCACCAUGGGCGGAAGCCUGAUGCAGCAACGCCGCGUGCGGGAUGACGGCCUUCGGGUUGUAAACCGCUUUCGCCUGUGACGAAGCGUGAGUGACGGUAAUGGGUAAAGAAGCACCGGCUAACUACGUGCCAGCAGCCGCGGUGAUACGUAGGGUGCGAGCGUUGUCCGGAUUUAUUGGGCGUAAAGGGCUCGUAGGUGGUUGAUCGCGUCGGAAGUGCAAUCUUGGGGCUUAACCCUGAGCGUGCUUUCGAUACGGGUUGACUUGAGGAAGGUAGGGGAGAAUGGAAUUCCUGGUGGAGCGGUGGAAUGCGCAGAUAUCAGGAGGAACACCAGUGGCGAAGGCGGUUCUCUGGGCCUUUCCUGACGCUGAGGAGCGAAAGCGUGGGGAGCGAACAGGCCUAGAUACCCUGGUAGUCCACGCUGUAAACGGUGGGUACUAGGUGUGGGGUCCAUUCCACGGGUUCCGUGCCGUAGCUAACGCUUUAAGUACCCCGCCUGGGGAGUACGGCCGCAAGGCUAAAACUCAAAGGAAUUGACGGGGCCCCGCACAAGCGGCGGAGCAUGCGGAUUAAUUCGAUGCAACGCGUAGAACCUCACCUGGGUUUGACAUGGAUCGGGAGUGCUCAGAGAUGGGUGUGCCUCUUUUGGGGUCGGUUCACAGGUGGUGCAUGGCUGUCGUCAGCUCGUGUCGUGAGAUGUUGGGUUAAGUCCCGCAACGAGCGCAACCCUUGUUCACUGUUGCCAGCACGUUAUGGUGGGGACUCAGUGGAGACCGCCGGGGUCAACUCGGAGGAAGGUGGGGAUGACGUCAAGUCAUCAUGCCCCUUAUGUCCAGGGCUUCACGCAUGCUACAAUGGCUGGUACAGAGAGUGGCGAGCCUGUGAGGGUGAGCGAAUCUCGGAAAGCCGGUCUCAGUUCGGAUUGGGGUCUGCAACUCGACCUCAUGAAGUCGGAGUCGCUAGUAAUCGCAGAUCAGCAACGCUGCGGUGAAUACGUUCCCGGG
rnacentral:rRNA from 1 species